UACGUAGGCAGCAAGCGUUGUUCGGAGUUACUGGGCGUAAAGGGUGUGUAGGCGGCCUUCUAAGUUUGGUGUGAAAUCUCCCGGCUCAACUGGGAGGGUGCGCCGAAUACUGAAGGGCUAGAGUGCGGGAGAGGAGAGUGGAAUUCCUGGUGUAGCGGUGAAAUGCGUAGAUAUCAGGAGGAACACCGGUGGUGUAGACGGCUCUCUGGACCGUAACUGACGCUGAUGCACGAAAGCUAGGGGAGCAAACAGG
rnacentral:rRNA from 1 species